AUAUACAAAUUGACCCAAGAACUGGUCCUACAUAACCUCAAGUAGCUAAAUGUAAAGAUUGACAAAGAUAGUGAGAGAAUAUAUGUACUAAGUCUGGAGGCCGAUUCUGUUCUCAAAUACAAAGUGGAAAUAACCUCAAGCAACUAAAAGCGAAGAUUGACAAAGAUAGUGAGAGAAUAUAUGUACUAAGUCUGGAGGCCACCGGCCACAGGGGUCGCCGGUAAGGAGAAGGGAAAAUGGUAGCUGUAGAGAUUGGAGGAGGAAACGAAGUGAGAAAAAUAACCUUCUUGGGGUUUAGAGAAUGGGGUUUUGAC
rnacentral:lncRNA from 1 species